UCCGCACAGUCGAAGAGCGCAGAACAACUACUGAAGCAAUAUUCAAUCUUAAAAAAAACCACCAUUAUACCUCAUCAUGAAUAAGGAAAUUGUUCUUAUGAUGUUUGUUUUUGCCAUCCUAUGCAUUACGACGACAAUGGCAGGUGUGCAGGAGUUCGCUAAAUUCGCUGCCGUUAACUACCAUCACGCUCGAUUCAUUCGCGAUGCUAGCCCACAAAGAUUCCCCGGCUGGCUUUUCGGUUAACUUGUUGGUAAAGUACGUUAACGUCUAGCAUAACGUCCUUGCUUAACGCCCUGCCCCCCUUUGCUCAGCAAACACCAAUACCUUAUUUAUUAUCGAACAUCACAUGAUUGAUUUUGACCCUAAUGGGUACCGUUAAUAUUUAUUUAUCACUUGUAUAAAAAGUUAUAUUAUUCUUGAGAAAUACAUAUUUGGGUGCAAACUUAA